UGUCAUGUUAUUGGACAAACGUCAGGGACUUUUUGGCAGACAGCUCAGAUAACCGUCUUCAUGCAAACUGUUUAUUGCUGAAGAAGGGAUGCGAGGUCGGAAGUAACUUUACUCAGUGAAGAAUUAACUAUGGCACGGAGGGACCCGUUAGUGAAACAGCAUGACAUGUCAUUUCCUCCUGUUGAACUAAAACUGUUGACGGACAUGCAAUGCAAGUGGUACGUGGAGUUUUAUAAGCGCAGGAACAAUAUACCGAAUAUUGACCUUGCGUCUCCAUAUGCAAACGUCUUGUCAACUGCCACUACUGACGUGGUUUUUAUCUGGAUCUGUCUUGGUUUCUGUUGACGCAUCCUCCUGUCCAAUGCUCGUAACCACCUGAUUACAUUGCACUCCAUGAGGAGCCUGCCUGUUACGCGAAUGCAGUAAGCCAAGGUAAGUUGCUAGCUAGCAUUAAACUUAUCUUAUAAAAAACAAUCAAUCAAUCAUAAUCACUAGUUAUAACGACACAUGGUUGAUGAUAUUACUAGUUUAUCUAGCGUGUCCUGCAUUGCAUAUAAUCGAUGCGGUGCGUAUCGUUGCUCCAAUGUGUACCUAACCAUAAACACCAAUGCCUUUCUUAAAAUCAAUACACAGAAGUAUAUAUUUUUAAACCUGCAUAUUUAACUAAAAGAAAUCUAGGUUAGCAGGCAAUAUUAACCAGGUGAAAUUGUGUCACUUCUCUUGCGUUCAUUGUACGCAGAGUCAGUGUAUAUGCAACAGUUUGGGCUGCCUAAUUUGCCAGAAUUUUACGUAAUUAUGACAUAACAUUGAAGGUUGUACAAUGUAACAGCAAUAUUUAGACUGAUGGAUGCCACCCGUUAGAUAAAAUACGGAACAGUUCCGUAUUUCACUGAAAGAAUUAACGUUUUGUUUUCGAGAUUAUAGUUUCCGGAUUCUACCAUAUUAAUGAUCAAAGGCCUGUAUUUCUGUGUGUUAUUAUGUUAUAACUAAGUCUAUGAUUUGAUAGAGCAGUCUGACUGAGCGGUGGUAGGCAGCAGCAGGCUCAUAAGCAUUCAUUCAAACAGCACUUUUGUGUGUUUUGCCAGCAACUCUUCGUUGUGCGUCAAGCAUUGCACUGUUUAUGACUUCAAGCCUAUCAACUCCUGAGAUGAGGCUGGUGUAACCGAUGUGAAAUGGCUAGCUAGUUAGCGGGGCGCGCGCUAAUAGUGUUUCAAACGUAACUCGCUCUGAGACUUAGAGAGGUUGUUCCCCUUGCUCUGCAUGGGUAACGCUGCUUCGAUGGUGGCUGUUGUCGUUGUGUUCCUGGUUCGAGCCCAGGGAGGAGCGAGGAGAGGUACGGAAGCUAUACUGUUACACUGGCAAUACUAAAGUGCCUAAUAAGAACAUUCAAUAGUCAAAGGUUAAUGAAAUACAAAUGGUAUAGAGGGAAAUAGUCCUAUAAUUCCUAUAAUAACUACAACCUAAAACUUCUUACCUGGGAAUAUUGAAGACUCAUGUUAAAAAGGAACCACCAGCUUUCAUAUGUUCUCUCAUGUUCUGAGCAAGGAACUGAAACGUUAUCUUUCUUACAUAGCACAUAUUGCACUUUUACUUUCUUCUCCAACACUUUGUUCUUGCAUUAUUUAAACCAAAUUGAACAUGUUUCAUUAUUUAUUUUAGGCUAAAUUGAUUUUAUUGAUGUAUUAUAUUAAAGUUAAAAUACGUUUUCAUUCAGUAUUGUUGUAAUUGUCGUUAUUACAAAUAACACAAAAUAAAUCGGCCGAUUUAAUCGGUAUCGACUUUUUUUGGUCCUCCAAUAAUCGGUAUCGGCGUUGAAAAAUCAGAAUCGGUCGACCUCUAAUUUAAUUAAUAUUUAAUAAUAAUAUUUAAUUAUUAUAAUAUUUAAUUAAUAUUCUGUAGUUCUAUUUUGGUCGAUGGUUUCCUGUCACAAGCGAUUUCACAAUAUUUUGUGCCCCUGUUCUAUCUGAGUUGUUUUAGACACUGAGGUUACGGGGUCCUCUGGUGAGGGGUUAAGAGUGACCCAAAUAGCACCAGAAUCAAAAACUCUUGGGCACUGGUCUUUUCUAUGAGAAUGAAUGGUUCUUUUAUUUUUUUAAGUGUCCCAGAUGUUGUUAUUUUAAGGGAAGUGAAGGCCACAGUGAUAACUGGAUGUGGCUGGGGCUGUUAACAGGAAGUGAACAUAUCCACGGGCUAUUGGUUUAUCAAACCUCCACAGUAUUGUCUCUGUUAUAGUAGCCUCUGUCUCGGUCCCCAACAACCGGAUUUUCCAGUUUUGGACAUAUUAACAAGACAACACUCCAUCUCAACUCCUUCUCUAGUUUCAGGCGUUUUCUUUGUACGCCUGCAACAUUAGGUUACCAUUAUAGCAAUGCAGAGACACCAGCUGAGUAUAAAUAUAGAUCUAUUUAGGUUACCAUUAUAGCAAUGCAGAGACACCAGCUAAGUAUCAACAUAGAUCCCUGUAGGUUACUGUAAAGAGAUGAACAUAGAUCCCUGUAGGUUACUGUAAAGAGAUGAACAUAGAUCCCUGUAGGUUACUGUAAAGAGAUGAACAUAGAUCUCUAGGUUACUGUAAAGAGAUGAACAUAGAUCUCUAGGUUACUGUAAAGAGAUGAACAUAAAGAU
rnacentral:lncRNA from 1 species